UACGAAGGGGGCGAGCGUUGUUCGGAUUUACUGGGCGUAAAGGGCGCGUAGGCGGCCCUCCUUGUCGCGUGUGAAAGCCCCGGGCUCAACCUGGGAACUGCGUCCGAUACUGGAUGGCUUGAAUUCGGGAGAGGGAUGCAGAAUUCCAGGUGUAGCGGUGAAAUGCGUAGAUAUCUGGAGGAAUACCGGUGGCGAAGGCGGCAUCCUGGACCGACAUUGACGCUGAUGAGCGAAAGCUAGGGGAGCAAACGGG
rnacentral:rRNA from 1 species